GGGGGUCCCCUGGGGAGGGGGGCAAGAGGGAAACCUCAGUGUCCUGUGCCUUCUCCGCCCUGGCGCCUGCCCCGAAGGGACCGCGGUGUCCGUCUGGGCUGUGCCCCCAAAGCAGCAGAGACCAAGAGAAAAGACUGGCCAGAGGGCAGAGACACUGGCCAUGUGCUCCGGAGCCCGACUCAGCUGACGUUGAGUCCCAGAGCCAGCCCUUGGCGACUGCAGCCGUGUGGUCUCGGGCGAGCAGGUUCCUCCUCCGAAUCCUUGUCUUCAACGAAAGGGAGUCGUGUCUAAUUAUUAAACACCGGGCACCUAGGAAGCCCUCAUCUGUAUGAGCUUCUGAGCCUCAGUUUCCUCCUCCUCCACAUGGGGGUAACGCUUGGCUUGCCAGGAGGGAGGCUCUUGGAAGCGCCCGUGCUUGCUGCUGGAGCGGGGAGUGGGUAGGGGGUGGGGGUCGAUCGCUUGUCCAUUUGCUCUGUCUUUUCUCUUGCCAAGUUCAGUUGGGGCUUUGGGCUCUGGUGUCUGCACCACCCCCGGAAUCGUGGACCAGACACAGCCCAAGAGGGGACCCUGGGCGUCCGCCCAUCCUUGGCGCGGGCGGCCGCACGCUCGGCCCUGCUUGGGCUUCUGGAACGAGACAGAAACCUCACCAGCAGAGGCUAGAGAAACCAGCGUGGGCAAAGGGCGGAUUGUUACCCACCGUCACCUGGAGCCGAAAAUAAGAGGGACUUCGUGGGGAAGCCCUGCGGCCUGAUGACUUCACGCUGGCCCUCCUCGGCAUUUCCUGAGGAUCAGAGACCCAGCUCUUGGGCCGGUUCAUUGUCUGUGACUUCAGAGGAGCUUGAGAGAGAGGAGGAAGCAGCCCCACCCCUGCCGCUGGUUCCUGACCUCAGUGAGAGGCGCCGGGACGUUCUCCGGCCAGGGGAUGGAAGAGAAAGAACUGUGGCUCAAGCGACCGGAGUCAGAUUUCUAUUGCACCGUAGUCGUCCCGGCUGGCAUCGGCCACGUCUCCCCACCCUUGAGAAGGGGUGCCGUGCGAACGCACGGAUUAGCCGGCGCUUUCCGAUGGCGCUGCGUGCGGGCCCUGCCGGGGCAGAAGCUUCCCGCUCCACUCCCCUCCCCCCUGCUCCAGGUGGGACCCCUGAACUCCUCGCAGAAUGAACAAGACCCGGAAGAGCUGUCGGACCACCGCUCUCUCCUAACUAACCCUGGGAAAGCGCAGCUUGCCUUUCAGGGACCGUAGGGACUGUAAUGCUGGUGGGGCAGCCAAUCCCAGUACUCCCUUUCUUGGGAACGGGGUGGGCCACGUGACCCAGGGAAGCCAAUCCCAAUGGUCCCGGCAGCUGGCAGAGCCAAUCAGAGGCUUCCCUGGGAGUUUAUAUUGUUACCUCCCCCUCCGGAGACCCCCGUUGGCUCUAGGGCUGAGGCUUGGGGCCUCAGCAGCCUGAAGCUGCGUGGAACUAUCCGCCACCCACCCCCCCGCCUUCCCCACGUGGAGGGGGCCUGUAUUCUGGGGGCAACAAGGCCCCAACCUCUGACUCACCCGGGUCUGGGAGUCUUAAGAGUCUCCUUCUUCGCUUAAACAAAACAUCAGUCAAAUCACGUUUGCCUUUGGCUCCAAACUGCGGUGGCUCCCGUCUUGCUCAGAGUAAAAGCCAAAGUUUGGACAGUGGCCCACGGCCCCGUCCCAUCUGGUCUCCAUCCGGUUCUCUCUGGAUUCCUCCCCCACUCGCUCGGUCAGCCUAGCCACCCCGUCCUUGCUCCCGGCCUUCACUCUGGUGGGGGCCUCUGCCUGGAAGUCUCUUCCCCUGGACAUGGGCUGUGUUGACACUUCACCUUCAAGUCUUUGCUCAGGUGUCGCCUCCUCCACCCCCGCUCCCCACCCCGCUCCCACCACCGCAUUAAUCCACUGCACAGCCUGCCCCACCCCCACCCGAGCCACUUCUGAGGCCAUUUUGCUGCCUGUGUUUUCUCUGUUCUUUCCACGGCCCAUUUCAUUCAAUGACACGCCAUACAAUUUAUUUCUUGUCCUUACUGUCUAACACCCGGAUUCCUGGGGGGGAAGGGUGGGGGGGGGGUCUCAGUCCUGUUUGCUGAUGAGCCACAAGCACCGGUCCCGUGCCUGACAUAUAGACCCAACUGUAAUUCACUGAAUUGAUUUAAGCUCACUUGA